GACGAAGGGGGCUAGCGUUGUUCGGAAUUACUGGGCGUAAAGGGCUCGUAGGCGGCCAUCUAAGUCAGACGUGAAAUCCCUCGGCUUAACCGGGGAACUGCGUCUGAUACUGGAUGGCUUGAGUUUGGGAGAGGGAUGCGGAAUUCCCAGUGUAGAGGUGAAAUUCGUAGAUAUUGGGAAGAACACCGGUGGCGAAGGCGGCUCUCUGGACCGAGACUGACGCUGAGGCGCGAAAGCGUGGGGAGCAAACAGG
rnacentral:rRNA from 1 species